UCCGGAGGGUGCGAUCGUUAAUCGGAAUUACUGGGCGUAAAGGGCGCGUAGGCGGUGGGUUACGUCUGCCGUGAAAUCCCCGGGCUCAACCUGGGAAUGGCGGUGGAAACGGGCUGACUGGAGUAUGGGAGAGGGUGAUGGAAUUCCAGGUGUAGCGGUGAAAUGCGUAGAGAUCUGGAGGAACACCAGUGGCGAAGGCGGUCACCUGGCCCAAUACUGACGCUGAGGCGCGAAAGCGGGGGGAGAAAACAGG
rnacentral:rRNA from 1 species